GUGGGGAAUCUUGCGCAAUGGGCGAAAGCCUGACGCAGCCAUGCCGCGUGAAUGAUGAAGGUCUUAGGAUUGUAAAAUUCUUUCACCGGGGACGAUAAUGACGGUACCCGGAGAAGAAGCUCCGGCUAACUUCGUGCCAGCAGCCGCGGUAAUACGAAGGGGGCUAGCGUUGCUCGGAAUUACUGGGCGUAAAGGGCGCGUAGGCGGACAGCUUAGUCAGAGGUGAAAGCCCAGGGCUCAACCUUGGAAUUGGCUUUGAUACUGGCUGUCUUGAGUUUGGGAGAGGUGAGUGGAACUCCGAGUGUAGAGGUGAAAUUCGUAGAUAUUCGGAAGAACACCAGUGGCGAAGGCGACUCACUGGCCCAAUACUGACGCUGAGGCGCGAAAGCGUGGGGAGCAAACAGGAUUAGAACCCCUGGUAGUCC
rnacentral:rRNA from 1 species